rnacentral:sRNA from 1 species
UAAAAGAAUAAAACGCCUAAAGAACAGCAC